rnacentral:rRNA from 1 species
GAUGAACGCUGGCGGCGUGCCUAAUACAUGCAAGUCGAGCGAACAGACGAGGAGCUUACUCCUCUGACGUUAGCGGCGGACGGGUGAGUAACACGUGGAUAACCUACCUAUAAGACUGGGAUAACUUCGGGAAACCGGAGCUAAUACCGGAUAAUAUAUUGAACCGCAUGGUUCAAUAGUGAAAGACGGUUUUGCUGUCACUUAUAGAUGGAUCCGCGCCGCAUUAGCUAGUUGGUAAGGUAACGGCUUACCAAGGCAACGAUGCGUAGCCGACCUGAGAGGGUGAUCGGCCACACUGGAACUGAGACACGGUCCAGACUCCUACGGGAGGCAGCAGUAGGGAAUCUUCCGCAAUGGGCGAAAGCUUGACGGAGCAACGCCGCGUGAGUGAUGAAGGUCUUCGGAUCGUAAAACUCUGUUAUUAGGGAAGAACAAAUGUGUAAGUAACUAUGCACGUCUUGACGGUACCUAAUCAGAAAGCCACGGUUAACUACGUG